GGGGAAUAUUGCACAAUGGGGGAAACCCUGAUGCAGCGACGCCGCGUGGAGGAAGAAGGUCUUCGGAUUGUAAACUCCUGUUGUUGAGGAAGAUAAUGACGGUACUCAACAAGGAAGUGACGGCUAACUACGUGCCAGCAGCCGCGGUAAAACGUAGGUCACAAGCGUUGUCCGGAAUUACUGGGUGUAAAGGGAGCGCAGGCGGGAAGACAAGUUGGAAGUGAAAUCCAUGGGCUCAACCCAUGAACUGCUUUCAAAACUGUUUUUCUUGAGUAGUGCAGAGGUAGGCGGAAUUCCCGGUGUAGCGGUGGAAUGCGUAGAUAUCGGGAGGAACACCAGUGGCGAAGGCGGCCUACUGGGCACCAACUGACGCUGAGGCUCGAAAGUGUGGAUAGCAAACAGGAUUAGAUACCCUGGUAGUCCACACCGUAAACGAUGAUUACUAGGUGUUGGAGGAUUGACCCCUUCAGUGCCGCAGUUAACACAAUAAGUAAUCCACCUGGGGAGUACGACCGCAAGGUUGAAACUCAAAGGAAUUGACGGGGGCCCGCACAAGCAGUGGAGUAUGUGGUUUAAUUCGACGCAACGCGAAGAACCUUACCAAGUCUUGACAUCCUGCGACAGUUCUGGAAACAGAACUUUCCUUCGGGACGCAGAGACAGGUGGUGCAUGGUUGUCGUCAGCUCGUGUCGUGAGAUGUUGGGUUAAGUCCCGCAACGAGCGCAACCCUUAUGGUCAGUUACUACGCAAGAGGACUCUGGCCAGACUGCCGUUGACAAAACGGAGGAAGGUGGGGAUGACGUCAAAUCAUCAUGCCCUUUAUGACUUGGGCUACACACGUACUACAAUGGCGUUAAACAAAGAGAAGCAAGACCGCGAGGUGGAGCAAAACUCAGAAACAACGUCCCAGUUCGGACUGCAGGCUGCAACUCGCCUGCACGAAGUCGGAAUUGCUAGUAAUCGUGGAUCAGCAUGCCACGGUGAAUACGUUCCCG
rnacentral:rRNA from 1 species